UGAGGAGAGGGGAAGUCAGUAGUCUGGGGAGACAGUGAAGUUGGCAGCAAUUGCAUGUAGCUGUUCCUACAGUGCCUGCCUGAAUCUGGGCUUUAGCAUCUUUGGUUUUGGGGGUCUAAUCAGCCAUCUGACUGCCUCUGUGUUUAAAUCAUGAACUGGGAAAGUUACGUGGGUGGAAGCUUUUCAAGGCUCACAUAAGAUCUUUUCUUUCCAAAUGUAGCAGGGCCAAGCUUACUGUUGAUUGAUUUAUCCUUUCUGUGGGUGCUGGAACAGCCCCUUGAAGGGCAGAGAGGAAGGAACUCUAUGUAAAAAGUGGCAUGUCAGGACUGAAGUAUAAAUGUCUCCAGAGUAUUCCCGAAGUUGUGUUUCUGCUUGGUGGCACCUUCACCCAAAACUUUAAGGGUCAUCAUUCUGAUACCUUCAAACAACAUUGGAAACCUUUAUUUAUUUUAAUGGUUUCACAUGGUUUAUACUCAAUAUCUGGCUGAGCAAAUACGUUUAGUCUUUAUUGUGGCAUCAUUAAGGCUUUGGACUUGGCAUGAGAGGAUUAAAUGUUUAAAUGUGUAGAAGUGUACACUGGCUCUCAAGCCCAGAGCUCUAUUUUGUCAACUCAGUGUUAGCUGCCUGGCUAGGCCUUGUCAUGUGUGAGUUCAAGCAUGUUUGUUCUCAACAACACACCUUAGUUAUCAAGAAAAACAAACUCUACUUUCUUUUCUGAUGCUGAAUUCCUACAAAAGGUGUUAAAUGUCAGAGAUGAGAACAAAAUUAUUUGUUUCACUUUGACUCCUUAUUGCUGUUUAAAGCCAUGGUGAAGUGGUGAAGGCUAGGAUAUGUGCAAGUAGUGAAUGAGCCAAACCAUCCACAAAUGGAGGAGUUGUGAGUUGUGAAGGGAGUCAAAAGGAAAACAGUAGAAAAACACUACAGCGGUGAUCAACAAAUGGUGUUCUCCUUUGCACAACUUUGAUUAGAUUUGCAUUUUUGUAUUUUGUUAUGUCCUGUCAUCUUUAAAAGAAAUGAGAAUAUGCAACUACACUGUAUUGCUACAUCAGAAAUUCCUAGGUUGCUUCACUUGCUGCAUCAAUAAUGAGGCUUAAUGUUUGUUUAUAGGAAGGCUGUCUGAAAAGCACAUUUGCUUUUUCCUAUCUUACACAGUUUACAGAGAAAAUAUUUAGUGGUGUCUUAAGUGAGCU
rnacentral:lncRNA from 1 species